CUUUAUUGGCAUAAAUCACAGGAAUUGAAAUGGGAAAAGCCAGGUUGGAAGUUUACAGAGAAAAAAUAAAAUCAAAAUCAAAUUUUCAAAUAACCAUUGACUCAGAGAAUGGACCCCAGAAACCCCAGUCCCUCUUGGGGAAGAUCUAGGGUGGGUCACUAUAAACAGAGCGGUAAGGCCUGUGGGUGAAAGUGGAGACAUCAGACCUUUGGAGGGGCCGGGCUGACCUUCCCCCACAAAGGAGGGACCCUCUUUGGAGACCCCAGCACACACUCGGCUUCUGCCAGGAGGCCAGUGGAGUGGUUUGGACUGUCACCGUUAGACCCCGGUGGGGCCCCUUUCUCCUGAUCAGGAGCCCAAGGCCUGGCUCCUCUUUCAUCCUUGGUAAAGAGCUCUGGGGGGUUUCCCCAGAGGAGCCUGUCCCUCUGCCCCAAAUCCUAUCAUGCUCCCUUAUGACCUUCUUUCCAGACCCCCUGAGUGCCGAUCCCACCUGUGAAAGGGGAGGAGCAGAUCUGGGGAAGGGAUAUGCCCAGAGGAAAUCAACAAGACCAAAGAGACGUCAGAGUCCUGAUGGCCAAAAUCAGACACCAGCUUUCCUGAGAAGGCAGAAGAGAGAGCCCCAUAGAAGCAGUGGGGGCUCAGAAGGUUCAGUGGGUUCACAGGGGAGCAGAGGCUCCUGAGGGCUUACUCAGACAGGAAGCAGCCCCCCAAAACAUACUUCCCCUUCUCCUCCCACAGAAACAGAACAGAUGAAGUUCAGAAUUCUAGGCCCAAAAGGGUGCAACACCCUUCAACCAGUUUCAGUGAAGAGCUUGCUGGCCUGGGAAGUAAAGAAGGGGUUUCCAAAUACAGCAGUUUAUAAAACAGUCCUGAGAAGUCAAAGCAACUCAGGCGAUAUGAAUUCAAACCUCAGUGUAGAAAUCUAUCAAAGUCGGUACAGUGUCCAGGCACGCCGUCCCGGAGACGGAGGAAGUGACUAGAAAACAUUAUUGCUGGAGAGGCUUUUCUCAGUAGAACAAGAGCAGGUAUAAAAGGGGAGGGCGGGUCUAAAAGGCAGGGGCAGUCGCCAGGCCUAGGGCACUGGAAGGGUAGGAGGAGCACAGAGAACCUUCCAUGGCCCCUUUGGUUCUCUGCCUUUGGAUGGAUGGAUUUAUGCUGGCAUUGUCUGGAGGGAGCCGGGUGUCCCCCAAUAAUCACAGAACAAAGACAAUUAGGUCGGGGGAGGAAUAAGGAUAAAAAGAGACCCCAACAGACCCUGCCUGCCCUUCCCUGCCCACCGGCUGCACUGCUGAAAUAUGAGGAAGAGAUGGCUCCAGUGUGGGGUGCUGGCCAGGCCAGUUCGUGGGGACGUACAUGGGCUGGGGUGGAGCCCCCAGCCUCUACCCCUGGGGAGGAUGGAGAGUGGGCAGCCUAGGGAGAGCUGCAGGAGGGAGGAGGGGGCCCAGAGGCUCUGGCAGGGGUGAAGACAAGCAGGGGGACCCCUCACGGCCCUCUGUCCAUCCCGCACCAGCGGAGGACAAGGGUUCCAGUUUCAGUCGGGUUUACCCCUUCACCCCCGGGUGAAGUCUCUGGGUCACAGUCGCAGUUGGGGAUGCGGGCUGGGGAAGUGGGGCAGAGACAGGGGCAGGGCGCCUAGCAGAAGAGCUUGAGGAAGCAGUUCUGACAGUAAGGCUUGUCGUUCUGCUCCUUGAAGGUGCCCUUGUUGAGCUGCUUGAGGCAGAAGGCACAGACGAAGUGCUCGGGGUGGAACUUCUUGGCCAUGGCGGUG
rnacentral:lncRNA from 1 species